GAUGAACGCUGGCGGCGUGCCUAAUACAUGCAAGUCGAGCGAACAGACGAGGAGCUUGCUCCUCUGACGUUAGCGGCGGACGGGUGAGUAACACGUGUAUAACCUACCUAUAAGACUGGGAUAACUUCGGGAAACCGGAGCUAAUACCGGAUAAUAUAUUGAACCGCAUGGUUCAAUAGUGAAAGACGGUUUUGCUGUCACUUAUAGAUGGAUCCGCGCCGCAUUAGCUAGUUGGUAAGGUAACGGCUUACCAAGGCAACGAUGCGUAGCCGACCUGAGAGGGUGGUCGGCGACACGGGAGCUGAGACACGGUCCAGACUCCUACGGGAGGCAGCAGUAGGGAAUCUUCCGCAAUGGGCGAAAGCCUGACGGAGCAACGCCGCGUGAGUGAUGAAGGUCUUCGGAUCGGAAAACUCUGUUAUUAGGGAAGAACAAAUGUGGAAGUAACUAUGCACGUCUUGACGGUACCUAAUCAGAAAGCCACGGCUAACUACGUG
rnacentral:rRNA from 1 species